rnacentral:sRNA from 1 species
UUACUACGACAAACAUGGGAGAGGGAGCAAACUGCGCACACCUUAGGCGGGCUUUGGAGAGCUCGAAGUAGCACCUCCCGUAGUGCCUCAGCGCGUCGGAGACGGAUCCAGCUUGCCUCGAAACAGCGGCCGCGGCCGCCGUAGCCUCCGCGACGGCGGGCACAGCGGCGGCGAUGGUGGGGGCAGACGAGGAGGAGGAGGAGGAGGAGGAGCGCGGCGAUGCGAUGGGAGCUAGAGCCGUGGCCGGGUGGUGGGACGUGUCGGGGAUCAGGCGCGAGCGGAGAGCCCUCGCGGCGGAGGCGGCGGUCGCGCCGCCCCUCCACAUGGCGGCGGCGGCGGCGG